UACGUAGGGUCCGAGCGUUGUCCGGAGUUACUGGGCGUAAAGCGCGCGCAGGCGGCGGUGUUGGCCCGGCGUGAAAGCCCCCGGCUCAACCGGGGAGGGUCGUCGGGGACCGCACCGCUUGAGGGCGGUAGGGGCUGGUGGAAUGCCUGGUGUAGUGGUGAAAUGCGUAGAGAUCAGGCGGAACACCUGUGGCGAAGGCGGCCAGCUGGGCCGUCCCUGACGCUGAGGCGCGAAGGCGUGGGGAGCGAACGGG
rnacentral:rRNA from 2 species